AUGAGAGAUAGAAGUAUGCAUGGCCGGGAUCGAUCGAUCCCUUAUUCGAAGCCAGCCGCUUCAGAAGCGGAACGAAAAGCAACCACGAUGACAAGAACGGAAAAGAACAACAGGUACGUGGAAUAUCAAAUCAUACGAAUCGACGGAACGCACGCUUGCACGCCCGCCGGCUGGUCACGCCCUCACAGCCACAAGCAUGCACGCUCAUCGCGUACUUGCGUCGUCCUAGUGCAGCGGCGUCCUCAGCAUGCAGUUGUUGUAGCAGACCCCGUUGCACUGGAAGGUCUCCAGGUUGCAGUCGCAGAUGCAGAGCUGGACGCAGAUCACGCACUGGGAGCAGCCGGGAACGCAGAAGCGGCAGGCGCCCUCGACGCAGAUGGGGCAGUUGCCGGGGACGCAGAUGGGCGCGGGCACCGCGGCCGACGCCGGAGCGGCCAUCAGCACCUGCCUGGCGAACAGGGCCAGCAUGCACAUGGUGGCCAUCUUAAGCGCGGCGCUGCUGGAAGCCAUUGCUUGCUUAUGAAUCUCGGUCGAUCAAGAGCAAGCUAG
rnacentral:rRNA from 1 species